CGAAGUUGGAAUUGCUAGUAAUCGUGGAUCAGCAUGCCACGGUGAAUACGUUCCCGGGUCUUGUACACACCGCCCGUCACACCAUGGGAGUCGGUAACACCCGAAGUCAGUAGUCUAACCGCAAGGAGGACGCUGCCGAAGGUGGGAUUGACGACUGGGGUGAAGUCGUAACAAGGUAGC
rnacentral:rRNA from 1 species